UACGUAGGGUGCAAGCGUUGUCCGGAAUUAUUGGGCGUAAAGAGCUCGUAGGCGGUCUGUUGCGUCGGCUGUGAAAACCCGGGGCUCAACUCCGGGCCUGCAGCCGAUACGGGCAUCACUGGAGUUCGGCAGGGGAGACUGGAAUUCCUGGUGUAGCGGUGAAAUGCGCAGAUAUCAGGAGGAACACCGGUGGCGAAGGCGGGUCUCUGGGCAAGCAACGUGACGCUGGAGGAGCGAAAGCGUGGGGAGCGAACAGGA
rnacentral:rRNA from 1 species